UUUUUUUCUUUUUUGCAGUGUCUUCACAUGCAACAUCUCUCUGAAUGUGCAAUGUCUUUCCUGCUCGGGAGUGCUGCGUCCUUCACAGUGGAUUGGUUCCUCUUUCGGAACAGAGGAGAAAAACAGCAAUGGAAAAUUAUGAUGGGUCUGCUACUGCACACUGAUUAAGAUCCAAAGUCAUCUUUCUAAAAGCAUGUUGACGGUAGAUCUGAAACGGAAGCAAGCAUCGUUGUGACGGUCAAAAUACCCUUUUUUCGUGUCUCAAAGCACCUCAGAAAGCAGCCGGCCCUGCGCGAGGCCUGAGCCUGCCGGCGGUGAGCAGCACGUUGCCGCUCGGGCAGAUGCCGGGGGCAGAGCAGGACCGCGCUCCACCAAGGUGGGGGAUGGUCUUCCUGUGGUGUCUGCCCUGAGGCCGCGGAGAUAACUGCCCCGGCAACGAACCGCCCAGAGACAACAACAGACGCUGCGGCGCCUGCCGGGUCUCAGCGUGACCUGGGGCUGGAGUUUACCUGGCCCCCCGCCACCGGCUGGAACCUUCCAGAACAGCUCCCGGCGCAUGAGCCUCCGCCUGUGGGAGGGUCCAGGAGACCCCUGACCCUGUAAAAUGUCCUGUUGUCGCAUAAUGUGUGCUUUUCUGGUCUGGGUUCGGCUGGAGUAGUGGGGUAGGAGGGCUGCAAAAGGUACUACAAGGACCACAGCUGAAAGCAUUUUAGCUUGCUGACCAAGAAGACGUUGCUGGAUUCACGGGGUGGUGAGACUAUUUGUUUCUCCUUCCUUUUCUUUCUCUACUUCGGAUCCUUUGUGAGAAUAAGAACUUGCCAAGACAUUUGUUCCUGCUGACACUGUUUUAGGGAAGUUUACAAUAAAAGUAAUUGUUCUUUUGUUUUCGCCCUUUGGAGGGCCUGCGGCUUCUCCCAUGACUGGCACAGAGCCUGGUGGAAGAUCAGCUCCUCCACACCUGCUGGGUGGGGUGGCACAACUUAUUGAUGGGUGUGAUUUUUGGGUAGCUGGAACUUGAAGCUAACUCCACGCCUUGAAUAGAAAAUGUGUUUUUACCAUCUCACAGUCAAAACUUUCAGUUAAAAGGAGACCUAGGUUCUUGUCCUUGUUGCCUCCUGUGCUUCUGUCUUGUUCGUUAAACAGCUUGUACGCAAUGUUCUGUGCUAAGCUUCCCCCGCAUUAAGUGUGUUGGGUUUACUUGGUGAGGUGUUGGCUGUGGAAGGGUUGCAGGGGCAGCUGUUGGGAGGACACAGCCAGUUCCAGCUGGUUACAGUGGACCCACCACAGGACACAGCUGAGCCUGUCAGCCUGACUGGUGGUGCCUGAUGUUUAUCAAGGAGAAGUGCUGAACAGGGAGAAGAACAGCAAAGAAAGAGUGAGAAACAGCAGUGCGAACACCAGGGUCAGAAAAAGAGAAGGUGCUCCAUGGCAUUCCUAUUCAGCCUGUGGAGAGUCUGUGCUAGCAUAGGUGGUUAUUCCAAAAGGGCCAGAGCCCAUGGUGCACCCACACCGGAGCAGAGGAGAAGCACAGGGAGAGAUGGUGACUGUAACCCCCACCAAUUUUCCAUGUGCCUUUGGGUUGGAGGGAGGAGUUGGGAGGUAAGGAACAUGGAAAGGGGGUGAGGAGAGGUGGUGUUUUAAUGUCUGUCUUUUUCUGUUCAUUUCAGAGUAUAUUUUUAUAUACUGUGAAUACAAUAAAUGUAAACUAAAAUUAUUUAAACAAUAUCUGUCCUUUCACAGAUGAAAAGUACUAAUAUUUGGGACAACAUUAUCUGAUUUGGACUGGAAGGGAAAUAAAUGUGUCCAGAAUGAAUGGAGGCAAAUCAGUGUUUAUCUCAUCAGGAUAAUAUUUCACUCAGCUAAGUGAAGUCAGUACAGGCUUUCUUAACUUCAAAACACCUGAGCUGCAGUUGACUACUACCUUUACACUUCCAUGUAUCAAAUAAAGAAGACAAAGCAAAAGGAAAAAAUGUAAUUUUUUUUUUUCACUUAAGAGUCUUCCAGUUCUGUCCUCGGUAAGAGGAGGCAACUACAUGUUAGAUAAUAAGGGUCUAAGAGUAUUCAUCUGUUACCGUUGUACACAGUCACAUGGUGCAAGGUGUGAAAUCCACCUCAAAAACUCUUAAUAAAUUUUAUACUUUGAGUAUGAAAA
rnacentral:lncRNA from 1 species